rnacentral:rRNA from 1 species
AUACGGAGGGUGCGAGCGUUAAUCGGAAUUACUGGGCGUAAAGCGUACGUAGGCGGUUGGUUAAGUUAGAUGUGAAAGCCCCGGGCUUAACCUGGGAACUGCAUUUAAAACUGGCGAACUAGAGUUGAGUAGAGGGGAGUGGAAUUUCAGGUGUAGCGGUGAAAUGCGUAGAGAUCUGAAGGAACACCAGUGGCGAAGGCGACUCCCUGGACUCGAACUGACGCUGAGGUACGAAAGCGUGGGUAGCAAACGGUAUUAGAUACCCGAGUAGUCC